rnacentral:lncRNA from 1 species
AGUUGCCGAACAAACUGCAGCGCAGAUGAACGCGGGCGGUGGAGCACUUCAUUUGCACUGACACUUAAAGUGCGAUGGUCAGAAGCGUAAAGUAAUUGAUCGGUAGUGUUUCUGAGCUUGUUUGCUUUAGUAUUACCCGCGGUGAUACCCCGUUGCGUGGUGAUUCCUGACGCGGUCAGUCGUCGCGACAUUCGAGAACCACGUGCGUUGGGCUAAAGCCACUAACGCGUCGGCUGGAGUGGUUGUGCUAUGCCGCUGUGUUUGACGAGCAUUACGACGUGUCGGCGAGAGGUUUACGCCGUCAUCAUACGAGACCAACAUACAAGGAGGAAUUCAAGCGAGUGACCAUUUGCGACAGGUCAAUGUGCUGCAUGAUGUCGUUCAGUCAUUGAAAUAUGCGUUCAAGCCCUCCAGGUCCCUGAUUGUGCUCCUGUAGUUCUUUGAUGUCGGGAGAGCCACAUUUCUGACCUUUUGGUGAGUGCAUAGAAUCUUCUCUCUCAAUUUUGUGACUGUGGACGGGCACUGCUUUAACAUACCGGUAAGUGUUCCCAGCAUAAGUACCAUCUACGUACGCUUGCAUGUACCAUCUUGCCUUACAAAUGCUUUUGGACGCUUACCAGCUCAAGGCGCCAAUGUACUGCAGAUAUGUGACAGCACGGCAACAUCAUAGCCCGUCUAAACGAACAGGUGUAAAAACUCAUCUGGCCAGUGAUGGUGGAGACAUCCAAUGUUUUUGUUUUAUAAAAUCAAAGCCAUAUGGUGACAACAUUAGCUUGCAAUUGUCAGCCGCAUCGAUAGCAGUUACAUCGUUAUAUGCCACUGCACAAGGGCUGUCUUUCGUGCUCUCAAAUUUUUUUUAUUAAUUUUAAUGGCAAAAAAAUAAAAUUAUUUACGUGGAGCUGAAGUACUCCACUAUCUGUUUCAGCUGGGCACUUGUGCUUUCUGUGUGGCUCUUUACUUAAUACACUGUUACUUAAAUCCCAUCAACCACUCUUCCUGGAUGGAGUGUCAGUAUGCAUUGAAAUGUGUCAUAUAUCUGCAAACAAUUACAUAGGAUUCAUACAGAACUCGGUACAGAACUCGUCAUACCUCACUUUUCUGUGCGAGACAUAGUAUUGAGGCAGUGUGUCAUGGAGGUGACAAAUGACUUAAAAUGUGACAUAAUGUCACGCGUGCUUUUACCAGACGGUAAGAUUAGACUGCCAGGAGAUUUUCUAAAGUUUAUUUAUCUCUGGCUGCCACUUUGCACAUAAUUUGUUUUAAAAGCGCUGCAGUCCGGUUCAUUCACCAUUCCUCAACCAGUUUCCUACGAUUUCCGCAGCAUUUUAUUUGUGACAUGUUGUGUGAGCGUUGCCAGCCUUGUGAAACAAAACAGUCUUGUCUUCUGUAAAAUCAUUGAGUUGCGAGAUUAUGAGGUUCUCAUUUCUGUUAGGAAAUGAUUUUUUCUCGCCCUUUUGAUCUGCCCAGCUGUACUGUUCGGCAGGUUUUGUGCUGGCAGUUACUUCAAAACCAAUUCCACCAAAGCCCCAAAAUGGAUGGAGCUGUAUAUUUUACGAAUUUGUGUUCAGGAAGUUACUCAUAGCCCAGUAUUGAAACAAGUUUAGGAAAAUUUGAUGAAUGAUAGCCUCAUUGUCAGUUCAGUUCAGUUUAUUAACCUUAAGGGCUUCCCGAAGGAAGCAUUACAUAAUGGGUGGGUUACAACUUCUCACAUAGACAUUUCAUAUUGAUUAGUUAUA